rnacentral:misc_RNA from 1 species
AUUAAAUGCAGGAAAUUGAGCAGAAAAAUGAGUUCCUUAAUUUUAAACUCCCUUUCCCUUAUCACAUUAACAAUUAAGCUUUCAUUUCACUCAUAAAGCAUACAUUUAUUUGUUAUUUUGAAGUAGCAUAAUAACCUCUGUUUCGAUUCUCUUGUACCAAAUUCUGGUUUUUAUUAAUUAUUAUUACAUUUGAAAACCAUUGUGACCCAAUGGGUGUUACUGUAACCACAUACAGCUUUAUUAAACUAGCAUCUUUGUCUGACAAUAUUCUCUAUAGCACUCUAUCAAUGAAU